GAAGGAACGAGCCUGACUCAGCGAAGGAGCCUGGAGAAGAGAGGUUUCUAUACCCUGGCUGUACAUCAAAAUCACCGCAAGACUGGGGACAUAAGGACACUCCAUUCUCAUCAAGACUCAGGCUGAGCGAGGGAGGUUGGAGUGAGGAAGUCUGAUUGGUCCUUACCACCUAGGGGCCUCCUUGCGGGAGAGAUGUGAGCCGUGUACUGAGGAAAAACUUAGCUUCUGGCAAGGGCUCUCAGCCACACAUGAAUCUGUGGCUCUUUGAACAUCUGCUAUGAACUUCGGUUUUCUUCUGGAAAUCAGUAACCGGGACACACUUGACGGAGAAUAACUGACAUACCUUUAUGUCUGCUUCUGUGACAAACACCAUGACAAAAGAGGACACUUGGCAGAGGAAAGGUUUAAUUUGACUCACAGUUCCAGGUUAACAGUUCGCCAUCGCUGGAAAGUCAAGGCAGGAAAUUAAGCAUCAUACCCGAGGCCAGAACAGAGGGAGAACAGACACGUGGGUCCCUUGCUUGCCUGCUGCUUACCUACCAGCUAGCUCUCUCUACCUUGAUCUAGUUUGAGAGCCAGUCCAGGGAAUGGGCCGAGUCUCGCCAUGGCAACAAUCAAGACGAUUCCCUACAGCUAUUCUACAGGCCAACCCCACCCAGGCAGUCCUUCGGCUGAUGCUCUCUUCCCAAGCUAUGCUGCUUGUGGGAAGCUGAUAUUUAAAACUAACCAGCACCACAAGGAAGAGGCUGUCCAGGAGAGCUCAGAGCAGGUAGAGGCCUUGCCUGGUCAUCUGCAGGGAGCAUAGUGUCGAGCCCAAAUGGGUGACCCUGAACUGGGUGAGGAGCUACAGACCUAGUUUCCAGGACAGUCAGCACACUCUGGUCCAGAGGGGGGCCUUAAAGACAGAUUUUUACCCCUUGUCAGCAAACAAGCAAACACAUGGGAAAAAAACCCUCCCUAGGAGGGAGGCUGGGAAGGUUCUCUGUUGGAGCCUUGAAGCAUCUCCCAGGAUAGACAGACAGACAGACAGACAGACCACACUCCUAUUCAUGAGAUCAAGAAGCCUCAAGACCUUUGAGUCACCCUCUAUCAGGUAAUGACAGUGCCUAGCUGGUGUCAACUUGGUAGGACCCUCGGAGGCUGUCGAUAGUGACAUGUCCCAUAGACAGAGAAUGCGGCAAAGGUCUGCUGGAGAGGUGGUUCUGGCCUUCCUUGAGGCAGGACUUCUUAGAGCCUUCAGCACGCUCUUGUGCCUUCAGGUCAAACCCCACCGGGCUCCACAGCUCAGUGCUCACAGUGCAUCUCAGAGUGAUGCAGUUCCUGCGCCCCGCUCCGCCAUGACCCUUCCAUUCCACUGGUGUAAUUACGAGGAGCCCUGCAUGCCACACAGGUAUUUGCCUCCCGGGGCAUCCACUGUAAUAAGGGGGAGGAUGGUAGGAACACUUGUCAAAUGCAGAGUCCUGGCACUUCGCUGGGUACUUUUGAUGGCAAAGAGAGAUAAUUGAAAUGCAUUCUAAAGUUCAGAAACCUCAUUUGUGUACACAAGUCUAGUGCCAACUUACCUAUUAGUGCACUUGAAAAAUACAGAAUUUCAUUCAGUACUAAUAAGGUGGGUAUAAUUAUAUGUUUUUCACACAUGUGGAAUUAAUGACACGAAAUAUAAAAUAAGUAAUCUGGAAAAUUAGUCUUUAGGAGCUCUGCCUCAUACUCAAUACAAAAACACGAAUGCGUUUGAAUAUUUUUCUCCCAGAAGGAGGACAAGUGAUACGUAAGAAACACAUAAAUGAAGACAAAUGUGUCCACUAGAACUUUUUACCUGAUAAAUUGGGUGAUGGUGUUAUUUCCUAAUUGCAUCAAAUAAAAACUUGGGCAAUUUA